GGUUCCUACGGGAGGCAGCAGUCGGGAAUAUUGCGCAAUGGAGGAAACUCUGACGCAGUGACGCCGCGUGCAGGAAGAAGGUUUUCGGAUUGUAAACUGCUUUAGAUAGGGAAGAAAAAAAUGACAGUACCUAUAGAAUAAGCUCCGGCUAACUACGUGCCAGCAGCCGCGGUAAUACGUAGGGAGCAAGCGUUAUCCGGAUUUACUGGGUGUAAAGGGCGUGUAGGCGGGCAUGCAAGCCAGAAGUGAAAUCUGGGGGCUUAACCCCCAAACUGCUUUUGGAACUGCGUGUCUUGAGUGAUGGG
rnacentral:rRNA from 1 species